AAUGAACGCUGGCGGCGUGCUUUAUACAUGCAAGUCGAGCGAGAAAGUCCCCUUCGGGGGAUGAGUAAAGCGGCGAACGGGUGAGUAACACGUGGGCAACCUACCUCGGAGCGGGGGAUAACUUGGGGAAACUCGAGCUAAUACCGCAUACGCCUCGAGGGCUUCGGCCCGAGAGGGAAAGCUGGCCUCUACGCGUAAGCUGGCACUCCGGGAUGGGCCCGCGUCCGAUUAGCUAGAUGGUGGGGUAACGGCCUACCAUGGCGACGAUCGGUAGCCGGCCUGAGAGGGCGAUCGGCCACACUGGGACUGAGACACGGCCCAGACUCCUACGGGAGGCAGCAGUAGGGAAUAUUGGACAAUGGGGGCAACCCUGAUCCAGCAACGCCGCGUGGAGGAAGAAGGCCUUCGGGUCGUAAACUCCUGUCAGUUGGGACGAAAAGCUGUCGGUCAAUAGCCGGCGGUCCUGACGGUACCAGCAGAGGAAGCCCCGGCUAACUCCGUG
rnacentral:rRNA from 1 species